UACAGAGGUCUCAAGCGUUGUUCGGAUUCAUUGGGCGUAAAGGGUGUGUAGGUGGCGCCGUAAGUCGGGUGUGAAAUUUCGGAGCUUAACUCCGAAACUGCAUUCGAUACUGCGGUGCUUGAGGACUGGAGAGGAGACUGGAAUUUACGGUGUAGCGGUGAAAUGCGUAGAUAUCGUAAGGAAGACCAGUGGCGAAGGCGAGUCUCUGGACGACACCUGACACUGAGGCACGAAAGCUAGGGGAGCAAACAGG
rnacentral:rRNA from 1 species